AAGGAUAUAAUUUAAAGGUAAAAUAAUUGACUUCAAAUCAAUUUUUAGGAGUUCGAGUCUCUUUGUCCUUG
rnacentral:tRNA from 2 species